rnacentral:rRNA from 1 species
AGCUGUGGGAUUGUCCUUUGGACAAUGGUAGGAGAGCGUUCUAAGGGCGUUGAAGCAUGAUCGCAAGGACAUGUGGAGCGCUUAGAAGUGAGAAUGCCGGUGUGAGUAGCGAAAGACGGGUGAGAAUCCCGUCCACCGAUUGACUAAGGUUUCCAGAGGAAGGCUCGUCCGCUCUGGGUUAGUCGGGUCCUAAGCUGAGGCCGAUAGGCGUAGGCGAUGGAUAACAGGUUGAUAUUCCUGUACCACCAAAAUUCGUUUUGAGCGAUGGGGGGACGCAGUAGGAUAGGCGAAGCGUGCUGUUGGAGUGCACGUCCAAGCAAUAAGACUGAGUAUUAGGCAAAUCCGGUACUCUUAAGGUCAAGUUGUGAUGGGGAGAGGAAAUUUUUUCCUCGAGUCGUUGAUUUCACACUGCCAAGAAAAGCCUCUAGCUAGAAUUUUGGUGCCCGUACCGCAAACCGACACAGGUAGUCAAGAUGAGAAUUCUAAGGUGAGCGAGCGA